GAUGAACGCUGGCGGCGUGCCUAAUACAUGCAAGUCGAGCGAACGGACGAGAAGCUUGCUUCUCUGAUGUUAGCGGCGGACGGGUGAGUAACACGUGGAUAACCUACCUAUAAGACUGGGAUAACUUCGGGAAACCGUAGCUAAUACCGGAUAAUAUUUUGAACAGCAUGGUUCCAAAGUUAAAGACGUUCUUGCUGUCACUUAUAGAUGGAUCCGCGCUGCAUUAGCUAGUUGGUAAGGUAACGGCUUACCAAGGCAACGAUGCAUAGCCGACCUGAGAGGGUGAACGGCCACACCGGAACUGAGACACGGUCCAGACUCCUACGGGAGGCAGCAGUAGGGAAUCUUCCGGAAUGGGCGAAAGCCUGACGGAGCAACGCCGCGUGAGUGAUGAAGGUCUUCGGAUCGUAAAACUCUGUUAUUAGGGAAGAACAUAUGUGUAAGUAACUGUGCACAUCUUGACGGUACCUAAUCAGAAAGCCACGGCUAACUCCGUG
rnacentral:rRNA from 1 species